GAGAGUUAUGGGUGAGUCAAUUGGAGAACAGUGGUUGAUGGAUCUAAUCUAGUUUCUAGCCCAGAGCUCUGCACAUAAAAGGAGACCAGUGACAUCGGGCCACUGAGGAAAGUGCUAAAGUCUGGUCAUCAAUUUAAUCUCAGAAUUGGGAGAGAUGUAGGUUAAUGUAAUUGUUAUGAUCCAUGUGCAGAAGGUGGGACACUUGAAUGGAGGGCAGAAGGAAGUUGCCUGGAUUAGGAAGAGGAUAUUCCAGGUGACUAUCACAGCAGAGACCCAGGGAACGAAACCUUGGUUGUUUUGGUUCUGUAUGUGCUGACAGACGGCUGGUAGGAGGGAAGAGAUGAAGUGCAGCAGGAUUGAAACUUGGAUACAGGCAGCCUGAUGAAACCAUGAGGGAGCUGCUUCUCUUUUGGAGAGAGGCACAUGCUGACUCCAGGUAAACAUCUGUGAUGGUUUUGAUCGCCAGCUUCAGAGGAUCCAGAGUCGCCGUGGGAACGUCCUGUGAGCAGAUCUAGACUGGGUGAUACUAAUUCGGAAGGAUGAGAGUCCAGGCCACCCAGAGGUUCCCCUUCGUCCUAAGAACAGACUGCAAUUUGGAAUCAGAACCUCUGAGAGAGCCAAGUUUGGUGGUUUGCCAAACAGACGGUGCUCCUUCCGUGUGAUGUACAGUGAGCAGUGGGGGCGAGCAUCUUCCUGUGGAUCCCGUGUGCACAGCUCUGGAUGGCAAACGAGGGGACUCUGGGAAGGAGGAUGCACUAGGGGAGAAAGAUUUGUCCAGCACCCAUUAGACAACGGGCUAAGAACACAAACGACUUAGAGCAGAGGAGAAAAGGAGAGGAAAAAAAAAAACCAAAAACCAAAAAACACAACCACCACCGUAAA